rnacentral:rRNA from 1 species
UACGUAGGGUGCAAGCGUUGUCCGGAAUUAUUGGGCGUAAAGAGCUCGUAGGCGGCUUGUCACGUCGACUGUGAAAACCCGGGGCUCAACUCCGGGCCUGCAGUCGAUACGGGCUGGCUUGAGUGCGGUAGGGGAGACUGGAAUUCCUGGUGUAGCGGUGAAAUGCGUAGAUAUCCGGAGGAACACCGGUGGCGAAGGCGGCUUCCUGGACCGACACUGACGCUGAGGCGCGAAAGCUAGGGGAGCAAACGGG